ACAGACACACAGACACACACACACACAGAGUGAAAAAAGGCGAGCCACCAAAACCCAUCUCCAGUCUCCUCCCGGGGGCCCCCAGCCCGCCACUGUGCCACUUUGCAUCCCACGCCAGAGGAGACAUUAAGGAGACCCGGUAAGGCUUUUUAAUCAGUCUGCAGUGUAAAGACACAUUUCAAGAGGAUUCUUAGAAGUCUUGGACAAGCUUACCCUAAUGUGGCAGGUGCUGUGCUGGCCACUGGUGACCCAAAGAUGAUGACAAAUACGUUCCUGUCCACAAGGAGCUAGCAAACCACUGGGG